rnacentral:rRNA from 1 species
GUCCACGCCCUAACGAUGCGAACUGGACGUUGGGAGCAACUAGGCUCUCAGUGUCGAAGCUAACGCGUUAAGUUCGCCGCCUGGGAGUACGGUCGCAAGACUGAACUCAAGGAAUUGACGGGCCCCGCACAAGCAGCGGAGCAUGCGGCUUAAUUCGACGCAACGCGAAGAACCUUACCAAGGCUUGACAUAUACAGGAAUACGGCAGAGAUGUCGUAGCGGUUAAACGUCUGUAUACAGGUGGUGCAUGGUUGUCGU